CUCGAUAAUCAUCUCCACAUUUUUUAACACUACGUUCUGUAAAAAUUGAAAUAUUUUUUAACUCAAGCCAGAUUUAAGAAAACCUGAAAAGUAUCCAACGUCGCAUAAAUAUUGGUAGAUUAUUUAAACAAGAAGUCCGAAGCGUUAAUAUUUAUUUUUAAAAUGAGGCACCUCUUAGGAUUAGUUUUCCUGAUUAUAAAUGUGACGGCAAGUGACAUCGAUAUGGCGACAAAAUUUAAAUUGUUUAAUCCAGCAUUUACGGACAGUAAAACGGGUGAAAUAUUGUGUAACGGACGAACCGCUGUUGUAACCCAAACAACGAAAUCUUUGAAGAAUGAGAAUUGUUGGGACUUUAUCAAUUUCCCGAGUUCGAUGUGCAUACGAGUGUCGCAAAUAACGCACAAGAUUUUCUCAGUGAUCGAGCUGCAAGGUUGGGAUUCCGUCCAGCUUUUUGAAUCGGAAGACUGCUCAGGGAAGGCUCACUUAAUCACGAAGAACCCGAUCGUGAGGAGCAAACUCUUCAAAGCCCAGGAAAUAAAAAACAAAUUUCUGGAAAUGCAAGGUGCCACCUUUUCGAUCAGUCGGUGGAGCAUCAUUUGUUCCCGAUAAUUUAAGCUUAGAUGAUGAAAUUGAGACUUGCACCCCAAAGGAGGAGCGUGUGACGCUUCUGGCCAUUGAUAACACGGACCGGACAGACCCCAUCCAGGCCUCAUUCACAUAUCGGCCCAGAUUUGCUUAUGUGCAAAAUAACACUAAUUUGGUCCCUACAAGAAAAGCUAAUGAAAAAGAGACAGGUUAUCGGGCAGGCGUUCCAGUCCAUAAAAACUUGUCGUUCAAGCAGGCAAUUAGCCUUUCCAGUAGAUUUUCAUCGACCUUGUCGAAAUUAUCGUCAUCCCAGAACGAUUGGGAGGCCAUUGAUAUAUUCGACAUUUGGCAGGACAGAACUCGAACUGGCAAGCUUGACAUUCGGGUAGGAAUCAAGACAGUAAUUGUGCAAAUCGUAGGAGUUUGUGGAAACCUUAAGGUGUACACGAAUCACUUUAUAAAACAGGAUUUCUACGCAGAUGGAACAAAAUUUGUGGGUAAUGUUAGAUUUACGUAACCAAUUUCAAUUUUGUUCACGUACUAGUAAUUUGUUACACCUCUUCGCGAUGGAUAUAAUGCCAGAAUAUUAAAUAGUAUGCCAUAAUAAUGUAUCAAUUAGUUUUUAUUUUACUUUUAAAUUGUAAAAAUGAGAUAUUAUUUUUUAUGAACAUUAAUUCAUAUCUAAUUUGAGAUAAA